rnacentral:rRNA from 1 species
AACGAACGCUGGCGGCAUGCCUAACACAUGCAAGUCGAACGAGACCUUCGGGUCUAGUGGCGCACGGGUGCGUAACGCGUGGGAACCUGCCCUUAGGUUCGGAAUAACUCCCCGAAAGGGGUGCUAAUACCGGAUAAUGUCUUCCGACCAAAGAUUUAUCGCCUUUGGAUGGGCCUGCGUUGGCUUAGCUAGUUGGUAGGGUAAAAGCCUACCAAGGCGACGAUCCAUAGCUGGGCUGAGAGGCUGAGCAGCCACACUGGGACUGAGACACGGCCCAGACUCCUACGGGAGGCAGCAGUGGGGAAUAUUGGACAAUGGGCGAAAGCCUGAUCCAGCAAUGCCGCGUGAGUGAUGAAGGCCUUAGGGUUGUAAAGCUCUUUUACCCGGGAUGAUAAUGACAGUACCGGGAGAAUAAGCUCCGGCUAACUCCGUG